rnacentral:rRNA from 1 species
UGGGGAAUAUUGCACAAUGGGCGCAAGCCUGAUGCAGCCAUGCCGCGUGUGUGAAGAAGGCCUUCGGGUUGUAAAGUACUUUCAGUCGGGAGGAAGGUGUCAAGGUUAAUAACCUUGGCAAUUGACGUUACCGACAGAAGAAGCACCGGCUAACUCCGUGCCAGCAGCCGCGGUAAUACGGAGGGUGCAAGCGUUAAUCGGAAUUACUGGGCGUAAAGCGCACGCAGGCGGUUGAUUGAGUCAGAUGUGAAAUCCCCGGGCUUAACCCGGGAAUUGCAUCUGAUACUGGUCAGCUAGAGUCUUGUAGAGGGGGGUAGAAUUCCAUGUGUAGCGGUGAAAUGCGUAGUGAUCUGGAGGAAUACCGGUGGCGAAAGCGGCCCCCUGGACGAAGACUGAAGCUCAGGUGCGAAAGCGUGGGGAGCAAACAGG